GACGAACGCUGGCGGCGUGCUUAACACAUGCAAGUCGAGCGGUAAGGCCCUUUCGGGGGUACACGAGCGGCGAACGGGUGAGUAACACGUGGGUGACCUGCCCUUAGCUCUGGGAUAAGCCUGGGAAACUGGGUCUAAUACCGGAUAUGACUCCAUAACGCAUGUUGUGGGGUGGAAGGCCUUGUGCGGCUAGGGAUGGGCCCGCGGCCUAUCAGCUUGUUGGUGGGGUGAUGGCCACCAAGGCGACGACGGGUAGCCGGCCUGAGAGGGCGACCGGCCACACUGGGGACUGAGACACGG
rnacentral:rRNA from 1 species